GUGCCAGCAGCCGCGGUAAUCUCCAAAGGGGAAGAGCGUAUAUUAAAGUCGUUGCAGCUAAAAAGCCCGAAGGUGAAACUUGUUUCCUGGCUGGCAGGUCCGCCUCACCGCGUGUACUUGUCCGGCCGGGCCUUUCCUUUUUUGUGAACCUCAUGCCCUUCACUGGGUGUGUUGGGGAACCAGGGCUUUUACUUUGAAAAAAUUAGAGUGUUCAAAGCAGGCCUUUGCUCGAAUACGUUAGCAUGGAAUAAUAGAAUAGGACGUGCGGGCCUAUUUUGUUGGUUUCUAGGACCGCCGUAAUGAUUAAUAGGGACAGUCGGGGGCAUCAGUAUUCAAUUGUCCGAGGCGAAAUUCUUGGAUUUAUUGAAGACUAACUACUGCGAAAGCAUUUGCCAAGGAUGUUUUCAUUAAUCAGUGAACGAUAGUUAGGGGAUCGAAGACGAUCAGAUACCGACGUAGUCUUAACCGUAAACUAUGCCGACUAGGGGAUCGGGCGAUGUUCUUUUUUCUGACUCGCUCGGGCACCUUUACGAGAAAAUCAAAGGUUUUUGGGUUCUGGGGGGGAGUAUGGUCGCCAAGGCUGAAAACUUAAAGAAACUGAACGGAAGGGCACCACCAGGCGUGGAGCCUGCGGCUUUAUUUGAACUCAACACGGGGGAAACUCACCAGGUCCCAGAUGAAAAAAGGAUGACAGAUUGAAACCUCUUUCCUGAUUUUUACAUGUGGUAGUGCAUGGCCCGUUUCUUAGUUUGAGGGAGGGGCUUCGGCUGCCUAACUUGCGAUACGAAGGAAGACCUUUAACCUUGCUAAAGAAGCCAGGCUAGCUUUGGCUUGGUCGCCCGGCUUCUUUAGAACGGACUUAUCGGCUUCAAGCCGAAGGAAAGAU
rnacentral:rRNA from 1 species